AAGAACGCUGGCGGCGUGCCUAACACAUGCAAGUCGAGCGAGAAAGUCCCUUCGGGGGCGAGUAAAGCGGCGGACGGGUGAGUAAUACAUGGAUAAUCUUCCUCGAGCCUGGGAUAACCCUGCGAAAGUGGGGCUAAUACCGGAUAAGACCACAUGACACAUGUCACGGGGUAGAAGGUGGCUUGUAUUUAUAUGAGCUAUCACUUGAGGAUGAGUCCAUGGCCUAUCAGCUAGUUGGUGAGGUAAGAGCUUACCAAGGCUAUGACGGGUAGCUGGUCUGAGAGGACGACUAGCCACACUGGGACUGAGACACGGCCCAGACUCCUACGGGAGGCAGCAGUGGGGAAUAUUGGGCAAUGGGCGAAAGCCUGACCCAGCGACGCCGCGUGGGUGAUGAAGGCCUUCGGGUUGUAAAACCCUUUCGUGCGGAAAGAAUAGUCCUGUAGCGAAUAACUACGGGAUUUGACGGUACCGCAGGAAGAAGCACCGGCUAACUCCGUG
rnacentral:rRNA from 1 species